GGUGAUGAGCUAACAGCAGCUACAGCUGUCAGCAGUUUACUUCACUGUCCAUCAUAAACUCUGUAAAUCACAGAGAGUUGAGGCGGAGCAGCCUCCAUGAAGACGAUGAUGUUCGGGCUCCGUGUUGAUCCACCUGUGAUUGAACGGAAGUAUUUACCCACAGGAAUACAGCCCAGGAAGAAACACGGGCAGACGUGCACCAUUCUUCACAUGGGAUGGAAAUCAAGGACCGCUGGUGCAAAGGGUGAAGGUUGAGUCCAGAUGAUCUAAAAAGUCAGCAUGGAUCGAAGGAUCGACACAGUGAGCUCUCAGUGUGGUUGAUGGUUCAUGAUGAAGAAGGAGUCGUACACCGUGGUGAGGUGAGGGCUGACUGGUGUUGGACAAGAGAGGAGGAGUUAAAAAGCAGGGUGGGCUCGGCUGAGGAGGAGAGGAGCAGAGAGGGAGGGCUGAGGCCAGCAC